UACGGAGGGUGCAAGCGUUAUCCGGAUUUACUGGGUUUAAAGGGUGCGUAGGUGGGUCUGUAAGUCAGUGGUGAAAUCUCCGAGCUUAACUCGGAAACUGCCAUUGAUACUAUAGGUCUUGAAUUAUCUGGAGGUAAGCGGAAUAUGUCAUGUAGCGGUGAAAUGCUUAGAUAUGACAUAGAACACCAAUUGCGAAGGCAGCUUACUACGGAUAUAUUGACACUGAGGCACGAAAGCGUGGGGAGCAAACAGG
rnacentral:rRNA from 1 species